UACAACGUCCCUUUACUUUUCGUUAAUUUUAUCUUUUUGUCCUACCUAUUUGUUAUAAUACAAGCUUAAUUUACUUACUCAGAUAUUUCUCUCUUUUGCUUACAGAUGCAGUAUUUUAAUUCACAUAUCACCAUGUGCAUAUCACGUGAAUCGCACAUUAAUAAAGGAUCGUACACAGGACGCAUUAACGUUGGAAAAUAUCAUCGAAUACAGGAACCAGACGAUAUUACCAUAGAGAAAUAGAACGCAUGGGUCCCUGGACGUAUGCAGUGAGUACAAUGAUAAGAAAAUUCACGUCUGUGAAGCUAGCAUAUCAGCGAGACGCUGCUUGCAUAGCGGUUAGGGUAGCUGUCAACAUGAUGACAGAACAAAACAUAAUGAAGAAGUGCAUUCUGCGCGUCACGAAAAUUUAAGAUUCCAGAUGGAUAUCAUAAAAUUGGGAUCAGAUAAGAGAAUAAGUUAGUUGUGCAAAAGGUAACUUUAAUGCUUGGGAUCAUGGCAAAGUUCUUUCUCAGAGGAACGACAAUCUGCUAUGAGCAUCUUGCUAUAGAGAAAUGGAACGCAUGGGUCCAUGGACGUAUGCAGUGAAUACAAUGAUAAUAGUGAAAGUAAUCGUAAGAUAUUAUAUUUAAUUCUAUAAAAUGUUUUUAUCUUUAUUCUGUAUAAA